GUCAAAGGAAGUACCUGUAGAGCUCAGAGACAGAAUUGUGACAAGGCACAGAUCUGACCAAUGUUGCAAAAAUCAAUUCUGCUUCACUUAAGGGUACCUACUGUAAGAGCACAGUGAUCUCCACAAUCCUUAAAUAAAACAUUGGGGAUGACCAGAACCCUUCCUUGAGCUUACUAUCCAGCCAAACUGAGCAAUUGGGGGAGAAGAGCUUGGUGAGAGAGGGAAAGAAGAACCCAAAUACAACUGUGGCUGUGCUCCAGAGAUGGAGUUGGGAGACUGGAGAAAGUUCUAGAAGGAUAACCAUCAAUGCAGCCCUCACCAGUUAGGCCACCCAACAAAAGCCUCCUCAGUGCAGGACACAUUAAAGCCUGCAUGGGCAAAGAAAGUAGAGAAAGAGAGAGAAAGAAAAAAACACCUGACAUUUUCAACUCUAAGAAGAUAUGAAUUGGGAGAUACGACACGUCCCUUUUGAGGUGCUAGCCUGUAGACCAAGGAGGGCCAAGGCCCAUCAGCCCAUUCCAUGUGUGCGGACACCAAGAAACCCAAAAGAACUAGGAUGCAGGUGCAAACGCUGGUGUCCAUCCACAGCAAAGGACAAUGAGGCCCCAGAUGUAGUGUGACGUGUUCUGACCCAAAGUGGAGAGUGUCGGGGGCACCCCCAAACCAGCUGGUCCUCAGCCCCUCACCACUUUAUAAUGACCACAGCAACAAAGGCUUGGACAAAAGUGAACUUAAUCACAUGACUGCAUGCAUAACUGUAUUGCAUUGUACGCUCAGGGAUGAUUAAUUUUAUAGGUGCACCUACACAAUCUCAUGAAA